rnacentral:tRNA from 1 species
ACUUAAAUAGCUUAUAUUAAGAGCGUGACACUGAAGAUGUUAAGGAGACUAAUGAAGUCUUUAAGUG